rnacentral:lncRNA from 1 species
CGGGGUCACGUGACGCCCCCUCGGCCCCGCAAGAUGGCGGCGCCCAUGUUGGUGCCCGAGCCCCCCCUAGGGAAGCCGAGCCAUCAAAAGUACAGAGCUAUUCUGAAGAAAGAGAAGAGGAAAAAAAAGCGGCAGGCGCUUGCCAAACUAAGGGACUCAGAAGCUACAGAAAAAGAUGAAUCUGUGUCUGAGGAAGAAGAGGAGGAAGUGGAAAAAGAGGAGGAAGAAGAAGAAGAAAAAAAACUUGAGGCAGAAAGACAAAAACUACAUGAGCAGUGGUUGCUGAGAGAAGAAAAGGCCCAAGAAGAGUUCAAGCUAAAGAAAGAAAAAGAAGAGGCUGCAAGAAAACGGCAAGAAGAAGAAGAGGUGAUGUAUAAACUGACUGUUACUGUUGUGCCUGGAAAUAAGGUAGACUUAGGGUAAUAUUCUUACUGGUUUAUCAUGGACCUGUUUUUCUUGAUCCUUGUGUGUUUGAAAGCACAAGCUCUUCUGUCUUUCAUUUAGAAGAGCAAAAUUGAAAAGGAAAACAGCAACUCUUUAAUUGUCCAGAGAUUUAGUUGCUUGUGAUUGGAUGGAAACUUAAUGAUCAAGGAGCUGUUUGGGUCAAACAAGAUAGUUUUGACUUGGAUUAUAAAGCACUAUUUCCUUAAAUAAUUAAUUUUUUUAUCAUAAAGAGGAAGAUCAAAGAAGAAUGGGAAGAGCAGCAAAGAAAAGAGAGAGAAGUGGCCCAGCAGAAGCAACAGGAGAAGAAAGAGAGAGAGGUGAUUCCUGGUGGUGGGAGGAUAAACAUGUUACAUAUUCUGUUACAUGAUGAAAUGCAACAGUUAUACAUGUUGAAGAGGGAUUUUGUUAUAAUUAGCAAAUGUAUAAAUGUGUUGGUUACUCCAUUCUGUUUGAUUUCCUAAAACUGUUAAUCACUGUUAAAGAGCAUUUAAUGGAUCCAUAUAAUAGGUAACUUGUUUUAACACAUCUGGUUGUCCAGAGUGUGUAAUUGCUUACAUCAGUUAAAUAUGAAGGCACACUGCCAAUGCAGGUUCUGAUAUGUGCACUUUCUGCAUCAUGUGUUAAAGAUGGUCCUUCCUUAAUGUCUCAGUUGAACACAGUCAGUGCUGAAGAAAAUGCCCAAAGAGGAUAUGGAAUAUGGAAGUACAUUGCUGCUGUUCCUUAACACAGUUCUUAAUCAAAAGAUGUGUUACAGCUCUUCUUUACCUGACUCAUCCAACAGGACGUAUCUUUUUUCAGAGCUCCUUGGGUGGAAUAAAAAAUUAUACGGAAGAUACA